UGAGUCCACAUUUGCUCUUUGUUCUUCACAUUUUCUGGGUUUGUUUUCAUAAUUGAACUUUGCAUUCUUAUUUUCUGGGAUUGUUUUCAAGAUUGUUCUUGGUGUUCUUAUUUUCUGGGUUACUAACCUACUAAAUUUGAGUUUUGAGCUUCUCAUUCCCAGGAAACAAAGAUGUCUUCAAGGAUUCCUCAACCCAGAAGGAAGAGCCUCUCAAGAGCACAAUGAGAAGCUCAUCACAGCCAAUCCGCUGAAGAAAUUGCAAGAAAUUUCUUGAUAGUCCAAGCCAUGGAGCUGGACUCGAUCGGGUCAGAAGUGGGAGAAGAGAAGCCCGAGCUCGGACCCGAUCACCCGAUCGGGCCAGUUGAUCGGGUAAGACCCUCCCGAUUUCCAGAGAAGAAGUUUCGAUUGGGAAGAGCCCUGCUGAAGAACAUGUUGAUGAACCAAUGGUGGAUUUGGAGCCUAGGAGGGUAGUGGCACCAAGGCAGACCAAGAACCUACCUUCUCCUGAAGAGCUAUACGCAAUGUUUAGGCGCCAAAAGUUCGUUGGAACUCGCUAUCCUCACCGGCAAACGAUAAAGGAGCUGGGCAUUGCACGAGAUGUGGAGUUUCUGGUCGAGAGAAGCGGGCUUGGUUCAUUCAUGACCAGGAAUUUAGAAGCCUACGAUGAGAAGAAGUGCUACGUGUUAGCCUCGCUCCAGCUCCAUUUCUAUGAGGAUGAAUCUGAGUUUCACUCGGAUGACUGUCUUUGAUACAUCACCUUCAGCGUGAGAGGUACUACCUAUUCUCUCACAUUUAAGGAAGUUGAGAAGCUCUAUGGGUUUUUGCAAGCAAACGGAAUGAGCCAAGAUAUGCUAAAGGAGGAGAUCAAAUCUGUUUGGAAAACCAUUGGAGAUGGGAAAGAAUACACUUCUUCAAAAUCCAAGAGUGCUCGAAUCCAAAGUCCAGUUGUGAGGUAUUUCUACAAGUCCUUGGCUAAUAUGAUUUUAGCUAGAAAGGAAACCGGGAAUGUGAAUGAGAGUGAGAUUCAGCUCAUAGACAUAGCAUUGAGCGGUGUAUUGCCAAGUACUAAGGAUGGUAGACAACUGGUAGGAGAUAGAACGGAUGGUAGCAUGGUCUCAGUUCUAUUAGACCAGUUUAUGUAUUGCAAGGAUUGGGUAAUUAAGGCUGUUAGGAGAGGUGUGCAAGGACAUCUCAGUAUUGGUGGACUAGUCACUCCCUUAUUAGUAGCAUGUGAUGUGGAAUUACGGGGGAAAGUCUAUAACGCUCGCUGGAUUGACAUUGAGACCUUGACAAGAAUGCACUUCCUCGAUAGUGAGCGUCCCAACGGAUUUUACCUGUAUUAGUUCACUCACCCUUCACUUGGAGCAGCAAGAAUGGUGUUGCCAAACACCAAGCUUACAAAGAUCAUACUGGGUGCUAAUAUCGACUUUUGGCCACCUGUCUCGGCAUUAUAUGACCCGAACUAAGUCCAAGACCAAGUUCCUAGCUUUGAGCCAGUCCAACAAACUUAUGCACCUGAAAUCAGAGAAGAAGAACCUGCUAGGGAAGAUCAGGAAGAGGACUUCUAUUUUGAUGAGUGGGAAGAGUCCUCUAGGCAAUCAAGGGGGGUAAAAGAAGCUCAUAAAAAGAUUUGCAUCCUCCAGAAGUGAAACAAGUUCCAAAGCAAGACCAUCAAGGCAUUGAAGAACACUAUGAAGGAUCUUGCUGGUACAAUUAAGGAUAUGGGGGAGCAGAUUAAGGAGCUUCAGAACAAGGUUGGAUGCUCAACCUCCACAACAGCCAUGCCUAGUAGCUUGGGUAGGAGUGCAUCAGUCAGGAUACCUACCAAGUCCAACCUACCAGUUAGCUCGUCUAGAGUAUCAUUUGAUCCAAGAAGAAGGAAGAAGUCUGUUCAGAACCAGAAGAGAACCGUGAGCUGACACGAGUGCCUCACCCGAUCGCACACCCGAUCGGGCCGGAUCAUCACGAGCGUGUAGCGGAGAAGCUCGACGUCAUGAGCUCGUGGUUUGGAUCACACAAAAGGGAUUGUCGGAGUAGGGGGUCGGUUCGUGAGGAAGACGAGCAUCCUUCAUCCAAAAACGUACGAAGGCCAUAGCAUCUUUCUCUAACCUUUGGAACAACCUGUGAAAUAAAACCAGAAAUUAAUAUCGUUAUUGAAUGUUUGUAAACGCAAAUCUUAAAGGGAGGAAGAGAAUUCCUA